CCCAGCCACCCACUCUCAUGUACCAUAUGGCCAUCCCAGUAAGCAAGCCAACCACUAGAAUUUGACUGGCAUGCACCUGUGACUUACAUAAACCAGACCUCUACAUAGCCUACAUGUCUUCAUUUUGCUGAAGACUGCCCAUCAUCCUAGCCUGUUAUCUGUGAUAAAGCACACUGAAGUUAGGUUUGGAAUGCAUCCUUAUCAUG